GAGUUUGAUCGUAGCUCAGGACGAACGCUGGCGGCGUGCUUAACACAUGCAAGUCGAACGGAAAGGCCCUGCUUUUGUGGGGUGCUCGAGUGGCGAACGGGUGAGUAACACGUGAGUAACCUGCCCUUGACUUUGGGAUAACUUCAGGAAACUGGGGCUAAUACCGGAUAGGAGCUCCUGCUGCAUGGUGGGGGUUGGAAAGGUUUCGGCGGUUGGGG
rnacentral:rRNA from 1 species